GACUCUCGGCAACGGAUAUCUCGGCUCUCGCAUCGAUGAAGAACGUAGCGAAAUGCGAUACUUGGUGUGAAUUGCAGAAUCCCGUGAACCAUCGAGUCUUUGAACGCAAGUUGCGCCCCAAGCCGUUCGGCCGAGGGCACGUCUGCCUGGGUGUCACGC
rnacentral:rRNA from 1 species